ACUGGCUUCUAAAGCCCUACCUUGCACGGAGCUUCCUAUCAAGAGGUAGUGUCCUUCAUACUUUUUUCCCUUCAUCACAACUCUACCAUCAUGUAUGACCUUCAGGAUUCUAUUAUCAGCUCUCCACCUAUAUCCACUUGAAUCCAAUCUACUCAGUGAAAUCAAAUUUCUCCUAAAACUAUGUAUCAGACCUCAUCCAACUUCUUCACUAUUCCAUCAUGU
rnacentral:lncRNA from 1 species